rnacentral:rRNA from 1 species
GCCGGCGGCCAUACCACCUUCAGCUAAGCUUGCAUAAGCUGAACACGGCUGGGCGAAGUCGAUGUUCUUAUGGGAGACCUCCUAAGAAACCCCGGAGGUGUCAGCG